GUCUUUUGUCUUUUUGUCUUUUGUUGUUGUUGUUGUUGCUAUUUCUUGGGCCGCUCCCGCGGCAUAUGGAGAUUCCCAGGCCAGGGGUCUAAUCGGAGCUGUAGCCACCGGCCUACACCACAGCAACGCGGGAUCCGAGCCGCGUCUGCAACCUACACCACAGCUCACGGCAACGCCGGAUCGUUAACCCACUGAGCAAGGGCAGGGACCGAACCCGCAACCUCAUGGUUCCCAGUCGGAUUCGUUAACCACUGCGCCACGACGGGAACUCCUCCCCAUUUCCUAUUUUAAUAUCUCCCUUUCACAUACUAUAGUGAGUUUUUCCAAAACUAUAUGGAAGAAAUACACUUCUCAUAGCAACUAUUUGACUAUUGUCUCUACUUGCAGAUGUAAUUGUAUAUAUACCUAUAUAUUUACCCUUAUUAGAUAAUUAUAGAGAUUGAUUCAUAUUUGCACAUCAACCAAAUAUAUUGCAUAUUUUUCCCCUUCCUUAUUGCCUUAAUUUUUAAAGGAUGGAUGCCUUUCAGGGUUGACUUCAGAGGUAAGUGAUCUGCAGUUUUUAUAAAUAUCUGUAAGCUAUUCCUAUUGAUUUUGAGGAUUUUUGUUCUAAAUAUAUUAAAGCGUAUUACAUUCUAAAUUUGGAGAUGGGGCAAUAACUAUCUCUCAGCCUUUUGACUACAUUAACUUUAGUCAUUGGAAACUUUUUUCAGGCCCACUUCAUGUUAGGUAUGGUGUAAAAAUUCUAGUCCUCAAAGAUAACUGGAAAUAAUCUAAGUCAAAGUACCCUGUUUGGUAGAUUCCCAUGCAUUGAGCCAUGUUUCCUUCUUGCCUGAUCUGUAUGGAAGGGGUGUUAUAUCCUCCACUCAUGUUGGAUUGGGUCAUAAGACUUGCUUUGGCCAAUAGAUGUUAAUAGAGAUGAUAUAAAAGGCGGGCUUGAAAUGUACUUGCAUGUUGCUGACUCUGCCGUGGAAUGAAAAGAGCUGCUUUUAAGCAUCCUGGGCCUUAGAAUAAAUGCAUAGUAGUUGGACUGAGUGCACCUGGAGGGAGGGGCCAAGUGUAGUUGGAUGCUCUGUUUGAAGUAAGGUUGCCCGGCAUGGCCUAGUCCAGUUCCACCGAUCUCCAGCCUGCCCACAGAUGGCACGAGUAGGAAAACAUGGACAUUUGUUUCUGCACCUCUGAGUAUUGUAGAGGCUUGUAAAGUGGUUUUAUGGAAACAGUUGACAGAUCCUGGCUCUAGCCCCACCUGAUUACAAACUAAACUCAGGAGUUCCUUUUAUGAAACCAACAUAGUGUCCCUGAAGAUGCAGAUUUAAUUCCUUGCCUUGCUCAGUGGGUUAAGGAUUCGGCAUUGCUAUGAGCAGUGGUGUAGGUAGUAGACGCUGCUCUAAUUCUGCCGUUGCUGUGGCUGUGGUGUAGGUUGGCAGCUGCAGCUCUGAUUUGACCGCCAGCCUGGGGACUUCUGUAUGCUGCAGGUGUGCCUGUAAAAAGAAAAAAAAAAAAAAAAAAAAACUAAAUUCAGCAGUUUUGUCCCCUCCCACAGGUACUGUUAGUAUUUCUGAAACUGUCAUGAGGACAUGUCAAAAGUGUUUAUGCCUUUCUGGCAGGUGCUAAUCUCUGGCAUCCAGUGUGACAUCUAGGCUGCUCUGCUCUAUAAGAAUCAUUUCCCAGUGAUGCUCUGGGUCUCACCCUCUGAGUCAUCCUCUUUGCAGGAGAGGUAACACACAUACUCAUAGCUGAGCACCUUCCUCAGCCUACUUGCUGCCAGUAAAACUUCAGGAUUCCACCAGCCUCCAUUUAUCCUGCACUAUCUCUCUUCCUCCCAGGCCAAGAUGAUGGUGUCUCUACCAAAAUAAUUUUCUCAAAACAGUGUAGAUAAGCUACAACCUAAAAGUUUUUGGAAUCUAUGUCUUCUCUACUUUUGGCCUCUGAGAGGACCGUGGCUUGGUAGAGAAGAUCUUAAAUACCUUUGUUGCCUCAGAGUCUAGCAGUUUGGGGGACAUGAUACAUUCUCAGUAAAUGCCAGGAAAACAAAAUAAGACGUAUAGCAUUAAAAUUUACUAACUGAAUGGGCUUACGUACUUUCAAAGUUCUUAGAAUUUUAGAUAAUAGUUCUGUUUUUAGUUUAAGAAAAGUGGAUAGCUGAUUAAAACAUUACUUUUUUUGUAAAAAAAAAAAAAAAAAAAACAAACCAUAAAUCUUAAAGAUGCUUCAUUCAUUGUUGAAUUCCUAGGACUCAGCCCCACACAUUUUAUGCAAUAUAAGCCAGGAUGUAUGAAUAGCUUCAGCACAGAAUGCAGUAAAUCAGAGGGAGGAAUGGACCAAUACAGUGCUGCAUCUGGAAUCAGAUAAAAAAUCCUCUGUAAAAUCGUGUCUUGAGCCCUGGAACCAGGGCCUGGGUUCAAGUACAGUUCUAGGGAUUGUUGGUUUUAUGGCUUAUGGUGAGACUAUUCAUUUUGACGUGCUUCCACUUUUUUUUUUCCUUUUCAGAAUAGGAUUGAUAAUAAUUUCCGCUUGGAUUUUUUGUUGGGGUGGGUGAAAAAUCGGAUGAAUUAAUGUAUGAAAACCUCCUAGCAUAUCUCUUAGCACAAAGUGCUCUAUGAGUAUGUCAUCACUACGGGAGCUGCAAAUUCCAAGUAGAGGAAGUACUGCCUACCCAGCAUAUAGCUGCUAUAAACAGAUUUUCUCAUGGAGAUAACUUCUCUAUAACUGAUGCUCCUUGUUGUAACUUUACCUCUGCUACUCAGAGGCACUUAGAGACCUAAUUCAUUGAAGAAAAAAAUGUAGUACAUUUAAGUUGUAUUAUUUUUUUUUCCUUUAAUCCAAGGCUGGAGACUUUCAAGGGACCAUAGAAUCUCUUAGAGCAACAGUAUUCAAACUGGUGUUGUAGAAAGUCUUGAUGGGAAUUUAUUUCUAGAUGCAUGUGUACUGCUCCCUAACAUCUGCCAAGAUGUGCCUGAACUCUUUCAAUUUCCCCAUUUACCUCCUUUCUCCAGCAAUCUGAUCUGUCUUGCUUUAUAAAAGUACAACUCUUUGCCCUCUGGAAUCCUAUAUUAGUGCACUUUUAUGGAGGAUGAAAUCCUCCUCCAACAAAAGACAUAAGAAUGCUUUGCUCUUAAGGCAAGUCUGAAAGCAAAGCACUUCUUGAGAACACAGUUUCUUGACAGCGAAAGAAGAAAUUGUAUAGGGGACAACACUCGUCUCUUGAGGUAAAAAAAUACCGGAAAGGCUCAUGUCACCCGCUUUCAAAAUUCUAUCAUCUAUUAUCUAAAUGUGUAUGUAUGUAUCUAUCAUCUGUUAAUUUUCCAUUCAUUGAUCAUCUAUCUGGAUACAUACUUUAGAAUUUGAUCAUAAAGUGAAUGGUAUGGUGAAUAAUGGUCCCCAAAGAUGGCAGACUACAAGGCAUCUCCCAGGAAAUCUGUGUCAGACACUGGUGUCGUGAGGAAAGAUCCUGAGACAAGAUUGCUCUGGGAAUUGGAAAACUAGAGCCUUCAGGGAACUCAACUUGGAAAAGAUUAGAGAAGACUGGCUAGUAUUCUAAUACCUGCAGGUACACUUCAAUAGGGAGGAGUGGUGGCAAGGAUGUGAAAAAACAGGGCAUGGAUUCCUGGGAAAAAGAUUUAGAGGAAGAAAUAGUAAAUGAACAGUAUUUCUCAAGGCUUCCUCCCACCAACCUAUUCCUACUUCUGUGUCUUCUUCCAAUCACCUCCAGCUUCAGCAAAGUAACACCUCCUGGACUACUUUCUAAAAUCUCAUCUUCUUUGUAACUUCAUGUAAAUGAAGUAAUACACUAUGUUUAUUACCUUUCUGUUUGUCUUCUUUUGCUCAGUAAUACGUUUUUCACAUCUAUCCAUGAUUUUGCAUAAAUCUCUAAGUAUAAUGCCCUAAAUGUAAAAUGUAUAUGAGAUUAAUUUUUAUAUUACAGAAAUGUAUUAAUAUUUAUUAUAUUUUAAAAGUAAGAUUAAUUUCAAAUAUCAGGGAGGGAGAGGGAAAAACAAACAAAAUUGAAACCAGAACAGGACACCUAGUUAACUUUCUGACUGUGCACCUUCAUGGGUCCAUGGUUAUGAAUCAUGUGUUAUCAAUUCUCCAUUAUUAAUAUUAUUUUCAAUUGCCUUUUUUGUAUCCUAAUUUAGAUCAUGAGAUUCAUUAAGGCUAAAGUUUAUCAAGCUAUAUUUUGUGAUUCUUUAUUUAGUGGUUCUAGGGACUUCAAGCCCAAACGGAUUUUGCUCAGUUUGUAUUCUCUAUAUCAUCUAUGAAAAAUUAACAAGCGAAGGCAAAUUUAGAGGCUUACCUUAUAAUAAACUGUAUGUUUAUAACAAGUGGUUAAAUUGAAAACUUUUGACUAUCACUUCCAAGGAAUGAAUAAAUAUUAUAGUAAAUGCUGAAGCAUCACUUGUGAGCUCCAUAAGGAAAGACAGGCAGCUUGCUUUGUUUUGUCUUAGAUUUGCUUUGAUCUCUGUGUUCUUUUCCUUUCUAACUGAUGUUCCCUUAUUUAUUCACUGAGCAUUUAGUGCUCACUUCCCAAAUGUCAAGCCCACUACCAACAGGUGGGGAUACUAAUGAGGCAAGACCUGGUGAGGUGGUGGUGGAGCAAAGGAGACAGAUAAAGAAGCAAAGAACUCAGAGUCAAUGUGAUAAAACUCUAAAUUAAUGACAGAGCCUCUGCUUUUAACCUGUUUACUUUUCAGGAUUUUAAAAGUGUUAAACUGUUGAAAUCUAUUGUUAAUGCGUUUCAGUGUGCUUGAUUGUUCUCAAAUACUUACUCUUUGCUGGGGGCGCGCCCAGACAUUGAUUGUGAUAGUCUAUAAGUUGCAAGGAAAUCUGCACUCCCCCCCUCACCUCUUAUCUCCACUGAAAAGGUAAAUGUCUCCUAUCCAUUGAUUUUUACUUUGGUCUCCUAUCCAUUGAUUUUUACUUUGGUCCUGUGGCUGCCAUUGUUUGAUGGAAUGUGGGCAGAAGUGACAUUGUGCCACUUUCAAGACAGGCACCUAUAUUUCCACUCAAGCCUUUGGAAGCUCCUGACCUCUGUCAUGAGGAGCCUGCUAUGCGGUAGCCAUCACCACUUGAGCCAGGAUCAGGUAAAUGGAGAAGUGCCCCAACCUACCUGCAUAUUCACAGCAUGAGUGAGAUGCCUAGUCUAAUUCAGAUCAGCAUGGGAAGAGACACCACAAGACUCAGCAUGUGAUUGUUAGUAGGAAAAGGUAACACAAACAUAUGCAUUGUUCCUGUAUCCAGAGUGAGCAUUCUUAUUUGGCAUACGGAGUGGUAACCUCCAGGACAGGUGUGCUCUAGAGUCAUACAGGAGUCCACACCUGAGCUGAGCCUAAAGGUCUAAAAGUAGAGAGUCAGGGAAGACCAACUUGGAGUGAACUGAAUUGAGAGGAAUUACAAAAAAUGAUCCUAAUAGAGGAGUCAGCAUCUGCAAAGACGUAUGAAAAACAGGAUUUCUGAGAGCUUCAAGCUGUUGAGUGAUGCUGCUCUGAGAUGAGGACAAGCAAGAGAGAAGACUAAGCAGGAAAGUGGUGAGUAGAGUUGAAAUACUAGUUAUCCUGUCACUGGGCUUUAACAAUCAUCAGUAUCUCUCCCUGCACAUUUCAUUUCAUACUGUUUUAAAGCAAAUCACAUACAGAAUGUCAUUUUACCCUUAAUGCUAAAUUAUGCUUUAACCAUGGAAAUGAUGAGGCUAUCUAAUGACACACAGGAACUAGAACUUUGGGACUGUGAAUGUACCUGUGGAAGGUUUAUUCCCCCAAAAAAUUUUUUUUGAAAAAGUAUAAUGAUGCACAGUUCAUUUGACUUCAUCAGGCUUUUAAUACACUCAAAUAAUUGUUGAGUUUAAUUAAAUAUGCAAUUUAACUUCUGAUUUCAUUUUCUGUGAUUUGUUUGUAGGUUAAUAUAAAUGGUCACGUAAAAUGCUCCCAUAAGAAUAAUUUAAGUCAUAGAAAUUUGGUAUUGCCUCAUUGUGCUCUGCUGUUUUCCAGCACUAAAAUCACCAACUUGUGCUAAACCCAAUAAUGUGAACCUCCAAAAUGUUUAUGGAUAUAUGAUGUUCUGGGUGGAGUUUAUAAAAUUUCUCUUCAAGUGAGAUUUUUAAAGAAAUGCUUCUUGUCUGUUACUUUUGCUUCCAUUUAACCUCUUCCCGGCAUUUAUUCAAGUAUGCUUGUAUCAGCAUGUUUUGAGUAACAAAAUAAAACAUAAAUUGCUAAAAAUUGCAUGUUAUUUUUUGCCAAAAUUUAACUUUCCUGCUAAAUUUUUCUAGAUAAAAUUCCAUAUUUUUGGACAUUUUAAGGUCAGAAAUGUGUCAAUGGCAGUGAAAAAACAUGUGGGUGGAAGCUUCCUUCAGCAAUGACUUUGCUACUGAUUAUGCUCAUGAAUAAAAUGGAGAAGUUAUUUCAGUAUUUAUGGCUAUAAGAUCUUUUUUCCACUGUGCUAGGUGAUAUAUAUUUUUAAUUAUUAGACUUGUGAAAUCAUACUGCAAUUUUAGGUAAUUAGGCAUAAUUUGAGGUUGUCAUGGGUAGUAGUAAUAAUUCAAGAAAUAGAAG
rnacentral:lncRNA from 1 species